UAAAACAAGUUCGGACGGAUCCGAAAGUCGUCGUCAUUGUCGCUAUCUACUAUCUAGCGAAACCACAGCCAAGGGAACGGGCUUGGAAUAAUUAGCGGGGAAAGAAGACCCUUUUGAGCUUGACUCUAAUCUGGCAGUGUAAGGAGACAUAAGAGGUGUAGAAUAAGUGGGAGAUAUUAGUCCUCGGUUUGGUAUCGUCAAUAAAAUACCACUACUCUUAUUGUUUCCUUACUUACUUGAUUAAAUGGAACAUGUAUCAUUUCCUAGCCAUUAUACUGAUAUAUUUAUUAUCGUAUAAAUAUGGGGUUUUGAUGCAAGCUUCUUGAUCAAAGUAUCAC
rnacentral:ncRNA from 1 species